AUUGAACGCUGGCGGCAGGCUUAACACAUGCAAGUCGAGCGGGGGAAGGUAGCUUGCUACCGGACCUAGCGGCGGACGGGUGAGUAAUGCUUAGGAAUCUGCCUAUUAGUGGGGGACAACAUCUCAAAAGGGAUGCUAAUACCGCAUACGUCCUACGGGAGAAAGCAGGGGAUCUUCGGACCUUGCGCUAAUAGAUGAGCCUAAGUCGGAUUAGCUAGUUGGUGGGGUAAAGGCCUACCAAGGCGACGAUCUGUAGCGGGUCUGAGAGGAUGAUCCGCCACACUGGGACUGAGACACGGCCCAGACUCCUACGGGAGGCAGCAGUGGGGAAUAUUGGACAAUGGGGGGAACCCUGAUCCAGCCAUGCCGCGUGUGUGAAGAAGGCCUUAUGGUUGUAAAGCACUUUAAGCGAGGAGGAGGCUACUUUAGUUAAUACCUAGAGAUAGUGGACGUUACUCGCAGAAUAAGCACCAGCUAACUCUGUGCCAGCAGCCGCCGUAA
rnacentral:rRNA from 1 species